rnacentral:piRNA from 1 species
UACACUCAGUCAUUGCCAGCCACCC